rnacentral:lncRNA from 1 species
GCCGGAUUGAGAAGAAGGGAGAGCGUCAGGUGGAUGGAGAAGAGGAAGAAGAAUGGUGAUGUGUUGUAGAUAAGGGGCAUGUAGUGGGAAGUGGCCGAUGGGCAGUGGGGUUGUCGCUAGAUGUUGUGUUGGACCAGAAGCUGCUGGACACCGAUGGAGCUACGUGUCGGGCUCGCCCCGGCCAAUGUAUGUGCACGAGGCCUGCGUGUGAAUAUAUUAAUAUGCAUGUCAGACUCACAACAACACUGCAUUGCAUACACUUUUCAUGAAUGGCAUUUUUUGAACCCAAAAAAUAUGUCAUUUUUAAGACCAUUUUUCU